rnacentral:rRNA from 1 species
GAUGAACGCUAGCUACAGGCUUAACACAUGCAAGUCGAGGGGUAACGAGAGGAAAGCUUGCUUUCCUUGUCGACGACCGGCGCACGGGUGAGUAACGCGUAUCCAACCUGCCCCCAACUAGGGAAUAACCUUGCGAAAGUAAGACUAAUACCCUAUAAUUUCCUCAGAUGUCAUCUGACGAGGAAUAAAGAUUUAUCGGUUGUGGAUGGGGAUGCGUCUGAUUAGCUUGUUGGCGGGGUAACGGCCCACCAAGGCAACGAUCAGUAGGGGUUCUGAGAGGAAGGUCCCCCACAUGGGAACGUAGACACGGUCCAAACUCCUACGGGAGGCAGCAGUGAGGAAUAUUGGUCAAUGGGCGGAAGCCUGAACCAGCCAAGUAGUGUGCAGGAUGACGGCCCUACGGGUUGUAAACUGCUUUUAUACAGGAAUAAAGUUAGCCACGUGUGGUUAUUUGUAGGUACUGUAUGAAUAAGGACCGGCUAAUUCCGUGCCAGCCGCCGCCGUAA